UUUGUAAUAUGGAAGUUGUAAAGCUGUGUUUUAAUAGGAUUACCUUACGAAUAAGAGGACUGCUUUUUAAAGAUACGAGAUCCCGCUGCCUUGGCAAUUCUGUUAUCAGAAAGAUAGUGAUUUUGAUACAAAACAGUAAGAAACUGUAGAAUUGCAGGACCCAUAAUCCUUACAAGGAAGAUUUAGAGAGUGCUGUGUGUCAAUCACUCAUCAGCACCUCACAGGUAUUAUCUCAAUUCGUCCUGGCAACCAUCACUGCCCCUACUUAGCAGUCUCAGAGAGGAGACUCAACUCACACAGGGGCCAAGAGCUGGACCACGGAACUGGGACAAAACAUCCUUUCUGCCAACUGCGGGGGCAGCAGAACGCCACAGUGGUUGAGCAUGGGCUCUGGUGAAGGAUGGCGGGGGUUCAAAUCCCAGUUCUCCACCUCUCUGCUUCACUCCGGUUCCUGGGCCUCUGAGCUGGUCUCCUCCGCUGUGGAGUAACAGUGUGACUGCUCAUCUGCACAGAUUCCUUCUGUGCUGGACACGGUUCCAACUUUCCAACUACUCCCGCAGGAGCUCAUUUAGUGGAGACAACAAGAUCUUGCUCAGUGUCAUAGUGAGGAAGAAAUGGAAAUAUCUGUGCAGGGCCCAAGCCUGGCCUGGUGCGGGAGAGGCAUUAAUAAACGCAGCUUGAGUUCAGAAGCAGGUGGUCUGUGGCUCACUCAGCCUGGCUUC
rnacentral:antisense_RNA from 1 species